AAGUCGUAACAAGGUUUCCGUAGGUGAACCUGCGGAAGGAUCAUUAUCACGUAUCCACGUAUAAACCAUUGUGAACCGUUCUUUAACCUCUGCGAUGUGGGGUCCGAGCAGUUGUUGUUGCGAUGCUUUGAGUGACGAACCUUAGUUACGAGCUCAAUACCUCGUAAAAGCUUCUGCGCUAUUCGUUUGAAGAGAAAAAAUUUCUGACAAUAGCUCGUAACGACUUCAAACAGUACGGGUCCACCAUUGCAGAGUGUAUCACAACCUAUUAACCAUUUUAACCAAUCUUUAUAACUUUAUGAACUAACUUUAUUUUAUACUCUUCGGAGAUAAAAUUCAUUACGAAACAAAGAACAACUCUUAGCAACGGAUAUCUUGGUUCUCGUAACGAUGAAAAACGCAGC
rnacentral:misc_RNA from 1 species